AUUGAACGCUGGCGGAAUGCUUUACACAUGCAAGUCGAACGGUAGAGGGGGCAACCUCUCGAGAGUGGCGAACGGGUGAGUAAUAUAUCGGAACGUGCCCAGUCGUGGGGGAUAACGUAGCGAAAGUUACGCUAAUACCGCAUACGAUCUAAGGAUGAAAGCGGGGGAUCGCAAGACCUCGCGCGAUUGGAGCGGCCGAUAUCAGAUUAGGUAGUUGGUGGGGUAAAGGCCCACCAAGCCAACGAUCUGUAGCUGGUCUGAGAGGACGACCAGCCACACUGGAACUGAGACACGGUCCAGACUCCUACGGGAGGCAGCAGUGGGGAAUUUUGGACAAUGGACGCAAGUCUGAUCCAGCCAUUCCGCGUGCAGGAUGAAGGCCCUCGGGUUGUAAACUGCUUUUGUACGGAACGAAAAGGUCUCUCUUAAUACGGGGGACUCAUGACGGUACCGUAAGAAUAAGCACCGGCUAACUACGUGCCAGCCGCCGCGGUAAUAC
rnacentral:rRNA from 1 species